CAAUCUUUGACUGAAUAAGAAGAAUCUAGACUCUACCUCCUGGUUGCAAGCUAUGCAGCGCACAUCUGGGAAGAGAGCUUGUUAGUGUGCCAACAGAAAAUGCCACAAGCAUCUGUGGCUCUUCAUCCCAUACUUUGACCUGAAUUUCUCAUUGGAUACUGAAAAGGACUUUGCAGCCUACAGCAUGUUACAGUAUAUAGAAUUGCUAUUCUGGGGGUUCUUCUCAAUGAGACACUCAGGAUCUUUGCUGGUGACUUCAAGGAACUAAAUGCAUGUGAAGUAGCAUUGAUUUUAAGAACAUA